rnacentral:tRNA from 1 species
GGUUGUGGCUCAGUGGUACAGUGUUUGCCUAGCAUGCAUGAGGCCCUAGGUUUGAUCCUCAGCACCA